UGAGGAAUAUUGGUCAAUGGGCGAGAGCCUGAACCAGCCAAGUCGCGUGAGGGAUGACGGCCCUACGGGUUGUAAACCUCUUUUGCCGGGGAGCAAUGCUCCGCACGAGUGCGGAGCGGGAGAGUACCCGGAGAAAAAGCAUCGGCUAACUCCGUGCC
rnacentral:rRNA from 1 species